rnacentral:rRNA from 2 species
GGAGGAAUACCGGUGGGGAAGGCGGCCAUCUGGACGAAGACUGACGUUCAGGUGCGAAAGCGUGGGGAGCAACCGGGAUUGAUUACCUUGGUAGUCCACCCCGUAAAGGAGUUUGAUUGGCAGUGUGGGCCCUGGAGGCGUGGUUUCGGAGGUUACGGGGUUAAUUGGACGCCUGGGGAAGUACGUCGCCAGGGUUAAAAUUAAAAGGAAUGGAGGGGGGCCGGCCCAGGCGUGUGAGCCUGUGGGUUAAUUUGGAGGAAAGGGGAGGACCCUACCUUGCUCUGGCCUUGCACGGAAGUUCCCAGGGAUGAGAAGGUCCUUUGGGGAACUACGAACCAGUUGUGCCAUGGCGUUGUUCAGUUGGGUUUUUGAAAUGUGGGGUUAGUUCCGCCAAGGGGGCCAACCUUUUUCUUAUGUUCCCAGGAGUAAGGCCGGGAACUCAAAGGAGACUGCCAGUGAUAAACUGGAGGAAGGCGGGGACGACGUCAAGUCAUCAUGGCCCUUACGACCAGGGCUACACACGUGCUACAAUGGUGCGUACAAAGAGAAGCGACCUCGCGAGAGCAAGCUGACCUCAUAAACUGCGUCGUAGUCCGGAUUGGAGUCUGCAACUCGACUCCAUGAAGUCGGAAUCGCUAGUAAUCGUGGAUCAGAAUGCCACGGUGAAUACGUUCCCCGGGCCUUGGUACACACCCCCCGUUCCACCCCAUUGGGAGUUGGGU